ACACCAAUCGCAACCAGCUUAACGUGGCUUUGUUCCUCUUGCGCGUACUCUCAUUCAUUCCCUCUUUCUCUUUCUUACACGCACGCAUACCACAGAAUGGAGCUUCGUUUAUUCGUGUGGGAUUUCCAAUGGAAUGACGUGUGUCUUUGAUGGUUGAUGGAUGGGUUGCACAAGAUUUCUUGCGUUUCGAUCUCGGUUAUGAAUAUUAAUAAUAUUGACUCUCAAUUUUAGGAUUGAUACUAGGAUCAGAAAAUUAUAACGCUUGGAUUGAUUUUAAUUUGCAUGGAAAAUUUGGCGUAGAAAACUGUAACAUAAGAAAGUGGUAUUUUUAGCGGUCGCACUUACAUUUUCCAAGACCCUUCGCAUAGUAUGCAUGUUAUAUAAAGAGUUUUAAAGGUAUAUAAUAUUCAUACUAUGCGAACGGAAAACUCUGAAUUUCUUUUCCUUCCAAUCCUUUAAGGAAAACUCGAAAUUGCUAAUUAUUUUCAAUUUUAUUACGAUAUAUUUCUUUCGUGGCAAAUGUCCGGAUAAACGAAGCUCGUACAUGUAGAAAUGACGACAGAGAAGUGCACAGUAACGAUUCGCGGGAAGGGAGUCGGAUCUCGAAACACGAGGGAAGGUGUUCGAACAUGUCUGUUCUUUCCAGUCCAUAAAGUGUUGAACGUGCAUGAUUCUCUUUGGAACUGUUAACUCGUAACACGUGCUCAUGCGGUUUCGAGGAUUUCUGAAUGACUUGUAUCUCUCCAAAAAAAAAAAAUCCUACGUUUUAAUAUUAUUGAAAAAGAGAAAAAACACGAUGGAAAAUGUUUCGCUCGUCAAGCGUCAUAGUUUCAGAUGAUCGAUUUAUAUCACUCAAAAAGACACGACAGAAAAUGUCUUUUGUUAAAUACUUUACCUUCCGUGGUAUCCAACAUUCUCUUCGCUCCAAUUUCUUUUGUACUUCGAACGUUUAGGGAAACACGGUAGACAAGUGAAUUUUCAAUUUUCGAUCGCUUUGUAACUGUUCCGUUUCUAAUUUUUUAAUUAAUCCUCGCUUCCUAACGUCAUAAAACAGCGCAAUACCUUUUUUUCUUCUCGUUAGAAAUACCAGUUGAUCUUGCGCGAUCUUUCGAGUAUUCUCUUUCUAUUUGGAUUCUAUAUUUUACAUGAUAAAUUUCGCCAAUUUUUGUUAUACGUUAUAAAACGCAGAGUACAAAUUAGAAUAAAAUAUUCUAAAGUUGAGUAACUUAUCGUUAAUCCAAAACGUCACUUGCGAUCCAAACCGACCAAAAUGUUGUGUAAGUGUAAAUUAAGGAUCGACAACCAAUAUAAUAUUCUAAAACCCUCCCAUCUGCCAAAUCCUCGGAAAACUCUACUCCUUUCCUUCCUUAUUCAAAGAAGAUUUUCGAUACGCAACAAUCCUCUCAAGGAUCGUCCGACUAAUCCAAAAUUUACUCCGAACCCGUUUUUAACGCUUCAAAUUUCAAAACUCUUCGAAGAGCUUAUAGUAUCUGUAUCCCGUAUCUUCAAGUUUCUCAUUGUCCUCGGGCAAGUCGAUCCCGCAGAGCGUAAGUUAAACAGAUUAAUGGCGAUGCGAGGAGAAAAACGAUCGUGAAAACGGGACAAAGAGGAUACCAGGGACGGUUGGGAAGAACGUGGAGGCGCAACGACGACAGGUGGCCAGUCUUUCCCCGUAUAAGCUCGUGUACGUUCUCGGCGAGUUCAAUUACACGUUCCAUCUACCUAAUGCAUUCCUUGAAACUGCGCUAGUCGUCGCGUGGCGUCGGUACUCUUUCGCUUUCGAAGACAAUAAGAAAAACACCGCGAAGCCUUCUUCUUCCGCCUUUCUGCCACGUACUUUUUUCCAAUGCUCUCUGCGCUUCAUCCUCCAUUUCGUCGCUUCUCUUUUUCACCGUACGUUCGCGCUUUCUCUCCUCUUCCUUCGCCGUUCUUCCUUCGUUUUCGUGUCUUCGUUCUUCCUCCGUUUUCUUCCUCUUUCACUCUAUCGCCGUGUGCACCGAGUGUUUCCUUCUGUCGGUUUGUCGGCGAAGGAAAGUAUCGUUGGGGGGAACGCUUCCCUCUUCUUUCCGAGACGUCUCUUUGAAUAAUUCAAUUCGCGUCUGGGUAAUUUCUAAGGGUUGUCUUUCGGUCGACUCGAGUGCACGAUGAUUCUACUCUGUUUUCGAAACGACGCGUGGCGACCGGAUUUUUGGAGGAACAUCGAAUUGAAUUUUAUACGGUCGCUUUUAUACGAAGUGUCAGAGAAAGAGGGACAUUUAUAAGGUGUGCUCUUAGUAUUUAAUUAUGAAAUCGUCGUUCGAAGCUUACUCAUUCAGUUACAAACAAUUCAUUUUUACGUUAGAAAUAUGCUAGUAGUUGGACGAGUGGCUGAAUCAGCUGACUGAUCGGCGAGAUUAUCAGAUUACGACGACUUUUCAGAAGGUAAUUCAAUUUCUUUUCCCAUGAUGUAUCGUUGUCCGAUAAAAUGGAUUCCACAGCAAGUUUCCUACUUGUAAUCCAAUAAUUACCUCGGUCGAAAUAAGACACCGUUAUGAUUAAACAACGAAGAAGCUCGAGCAUCGACGGUGGAAAGGAAUUUCUUCCAAAGUUUCGGAUCGCUCGGCGAUGAGGCAUCAGCAUUACAAUUAAAAGUUGAACAGCAUCUUGCCAGCGAGAUCGAUUCGUCGCUUGCCUUUUUGUUUAGAAUGUCGUCAAAUAAAAAGACCCUUGGGAACUGCUCGUUUCGAUCGAAACUUCCCGAUGCUUCGUCCGAUAGACGUAUUUCGAAACUUAAUUCAGCUGACAUAUUUUCACAGUUUUCUGAUAGUUUCGUGAAAGCACAGUCUCUUUCGUUUCGUUCUGUCUUUGAAUUAUGAUCUUCUCUAUGCAAGAUCUAAGCAGAUCUAAGAUACAAUUUGGUGUUUAAAAAAAAAAAAAAAGGAAAAUAGAUCAGCUACAGCGUGUACGAGGAUUUUCAUGGCUGACUGUAUAUACUUGGUUAUUUUUAAUUAAUAAUUAUCUGACGUAAAUCUCCUUCGAAUAAAUAUCUUUCGAAUCGCAGAAAUUACUUUAAGCACUUUCGCGAGUUCUCGCGAACUCCACUUCUUCCACAAACAAACGUGGUCUAUUUCGAAACUAUUGUUUCUUCUUUCAAUAAAUCGCGCGAACUCUUCACGCCUGGUCGAGGAAGAAGUCGUUUGGGACUGCGUUUCGCGCAUUUGGCCCGAUCGACUUUUGGCAACGAAUCGAUCUCGGAAGGCAGAGAUCGACAUAUUUAUUAUCCUUCGUUGCUUAAUUUAGCGUUCUGGGGGAUACGCGUGACGGAAAUUGACGGCUGUUAAACAAACGUUGUAGGAUAAUGUCCGUACCGAAUGGAAUCUUCGCGCAUCAGUCCGUUUCGCAGAGUCGUUACAUAAUGCCGGAUUAAAUCGAUGGCGUUUUGUUGUAAACAAUUUGAGGAUUUCUCGCCGUGAAAUUACAAGACAAAACCAAGGGAGCGAGUUCUCGCGAGAAAAUGGGCUGACGUGUCUUAAAAAUAUUUCCUCUCCGAAUAAGGAGAAAUAUUUAUCUUCCAUUCUCUUCCGUUAUGGUACAUCCAGCAUGCUAUUCUUUAUUUCGCGAAAUGCGUGCAGGAUGUAACACGCAAAGUACACGCUGUAACUACUCCGUUAAUGUCUUUCCUUCUUCUCAAAGAUUAACGCGCCAACGGUUACGUAAUACCGCAAUACCGAAAGAAACUUUCAAUUACUUUCAGUCGUUUUAAUUAUUCUCUUCGUAAAUUUUAUUACAGCACGCUGCAUCUUAAGCUGCAUCUUAACAAUAGAACUACCGAUAGUUAGCACGAAGCUAUUCCUACCAAGACCAGUGAAAAUGACUGAUCUUUAAAAAAUACGUAACAAUAGAAUAUUUUUAUAUUUACCGGUUUAUUACUUUCUUUCCAGAAGCAAUUCCAUGUUAUGCGGUACAUUUUUGGUAUUAUUAAUCCAUCUGCGACCAUCAUCCCUAAACGAGGGUCGACACAUUUAUAAAAUUGUAGAACCAGUCAUUUUCACUGCUGUGGUAUUUCUAGUAUCCACAUCUAGAGAUCUAGCGAACGAUCCGGAAUUUUCCUGACGACUGAUAUCGUCGUAUCGAAUGAUACGCGGGAAAAAUUUGAAAAACGUGUGGCAAGUUGUAGAAAACUGUAGGAAACUGGUCAAUUAGGGUUCGAUAAACGGAUCGCAGCACCCUUUCACACUUUGACAAGUACUUUGACGGUCAUCUCGACUGGUAUUGGUACAAGUAGCCUUGGUCCAAAAUUAUUUCGAGUUCGAAUAGAUAAAAAACAAAAUAAAAUUCAUUAUAUCAUUCUUUUGGUUAUCGUUGCGAAACUCACUUGGUUAUCAUUGCGGACAAAAAAUAUAACACGAAGUAGAAAUUUGGAAAUAAAAUUGUAAAGCCAGUCAAUUCGACUGGCGUGGUAGUUCUAGUGUUAAUAACGCGGAAUUCAAUCGUACGGCAACGUUAUUGCGAGGAAAUUUAGGAUAGAUAUAUAUUUGGAUGAAAUUAAUGAAUGUUUAAAUAGCAAAACAAAUACGAGAACAUGCACGGUUGUUUGAAGAAAAAGGAGAAACGCGCGAAUGUGCUUCUAGAUAUUGUAGCAAAACGUUUCUAAUCAAGCCUGAUUGGCAGACGUUUCCUCGCUCCGUCUGCUUCCUCUGUGAAACGUGGCUGAUAGAACUGGGAAAAUUUCAUGCAUCGGUAUUACGCGGAUAUUUCGAACUAACCGCAGAAACUAAAACAUUUACGCUGGAACACAGUCGAUCGCGUUUAAUAUCGAGUACACGCUAUAUUGUACUUUAACGUACUAGUAAAUUAAACGUUAACAAACUAACCGACAGAUGUAGUUGUUUUUGGUCGAAUUAAUCUUAAAUUUGACUGCGUUAUAUCUUUUUUGCGACAACAUUGGGAAAUUUGUAUUUCCAUCACAGCUAAUUGCUACGAAUGAAGUUGUACGAUGUCCGAACAAAAUUUCAGCCUUGAAAGAGUUAAUAAACUUCUCUUACUUUUAUUUUAAAAAAUGAAAAAUACUGGGAGCUUUAAGCGAUCGUAAUUCGACGAACCGGGCGGGGGUGUAAACGAAAAUUUUCAGAAUAUUGCGAAAGAUAGAGUUAGUUGACGGUUCCAACGGUGACAGAUUGAUCUUUGUUGAAAUUAACACGUUUCUUCCAGCUUGGAGAAGCGAUUCAAAGUUUAGAGGGAAGGAGGACACGAUUUCUGGGUGACAAACGACGUCCCGACCUUUCGAUUCACCACCUCGCCAGAUAACCGCACAGGAAUCGACCACGAGUAUCCCUUAUCUCGGCAAGUUUGCCCCGCGGUUAUCGGGGUCGAACCGGGAACGAAGGUCCUUUGGCUGUGCGAUCCGCAAUUGCUCGAGUUAUGAUGGAACUAAUCGAACUCGGUGGCCCGUUUGCGGAGUCGCCGUCGAGGAAUGAGUUUCAGCGAUAGUUUCGGAUCCUGUGGAAAGAUAUAGCGUACGAAUUGAAACGAAAUAUUCUGAAACGAAAUACAAAGGAAACUAACGUCGGAGAAAAUCCAGUGUUGGAGAGUAUAAUUCUCGGAGGAAUUCCAUUUUGUAUCCGUCCCACCGUGGACGACCGGUCCGUUUCCGCCGCGAACAACCAGUAUCUGGAUUUAUUUCGGGAGUCAGGCCGGACAACGCGGAAUUACGAAAAUGUUUUUCGAGCUCAGGGACGAGGUUCGACGUCGGUCUAGCCGUGAUCUAAUAAUUAGGCUGCUUUUCGAGAUCGCGAAUAAUUGGCCGACGAUAACUGCUGACACCACGGAAAGAUUUACAGAAUAUCGCCAGCUUAUACUUGUAAGCGGCUCGUUCAAACGCUACAUCGACUGUUACUUUAUUGUCGUCAUGAAUUUAAACACUUAUACGUAAGAAAUGUUUCCACGACUCUACGUGAUAUUUGGAAAUUCUCAGUGAAACGACGCUCGAAAUUCUACCCGAGAGGACGAGUUUUAAUCCAUCGAUGACCAUUAACGAUAAAAUAUCAAUUUGCAAGAAAUCCUAUAAAUAUACGAGGAUACGACAAUUUCUAUCAAAUCGAUCGUAAUUUGUCCGUAAAGACAAUGUCGAAGGAUAAACGAGUACCAUAUUACGAGUUCCGGAUAGCGCUGAAUAAUACUUUUACGAUACCUUAUCUGGUGAAUGAAGAAUGAAGAAUCGAAGAACGUCAAUUUAAUACUCGUGCGAUUUAUCGACGAGUCGUGAGCGACCGUUUCACCGAUGUACCGACUAAACCCGUGUGAAACAGCCGUGCAUAUUUCAUUGGAGAUGCAUGUCACGUCGGUAUGCGACCCGCGUUAAAUUUGGAAGGCGUCGUAGUUGUAACACGGUGAGUGUUGCACUUUUCAAAUGUCAGCCGAUGCGACACGGCGACGCGUCUAGACCGUCUAACGCGACGCUUCUCCAUGGAAAUUCUGUAUUUCUAUCGAGUCUAACACGGCCAUUUAAUUCGCUCGCCUUGUAGACGCGCGACUAACGACAAAAAGAUUUUAUUUUAUUAUCACCAAGACGAGGUAAAAUUUUCAGCAAACAUUUAAUUAAACCGCGAAAUUUUCUGCACGAGAUAAGAUAGUAGCGACUCUCCUUGUCUCGAAUAAAUGCUACGGACAAUCAAGGAAAUAAGCGGAAGACUGAACAUUAACCCUUUGCACUCCUAUGUCGAGCGUGACUCGGCAUCAGUUUUUAUCUCAGGAGUUCCUUUGUCGGGUCCCACCUUUCUUCGUGAAACGUGCGAAAGAAAGCUAGAAUUGCGUCUUGGAAAUUGUUUCAAGAUAUAUCAUACACUCAAAAAUUACAAAAUACAACAAUAGCGUGAAUAAAACUGAUAUUUGAGCGAAUUUGUUUCUUCCUUUAUUUAUUUAAAUUGUCUCAAUUUUUAGUCGAAAUAAAUUUCAAAUGAAACACUUAAAAGCGUUGGGAGCUGCUGGUAACGAACUCGAAAUAAAAUUCGGAGUGCAAAGAGUUAACGAUCGUCUCGUGAUGCGAGAAAUGCUCUUACGAUCGGUGGAACGUAUAAAGCUUCCCUCGCAACAGGAACGAGUCUGAUCCAGACGCGAAUACUUAGUCGUUAAGGUAUAAUUUUACUAAAAUAUUUUAUGCCAAACGCGAUUAAAAGAUAUACGCGAUCCACGCUACAGAAAAUAUAAAAAGAUCCAAGAAUACGAAGAAAAGGGCAGGGUUUUCAGUACUUUUACCUACGUCAAGCGCUAUACGCGAAAACCUAGAGAGGAUGCGAUCAGAAGCGUUAAUUCCGCCCUCGUUCGCAGGGAGACUGAUCCUACGACAACCGCCCUCAUGCAUGUCCCUGGCGACACGGAAAAUUGGGUAGGAUAAUUCAAUUAGCCAGAAGCGGUUCCGUGGUCGAACGAUCCGCUUCCGUCGGACACGUCGUGCAAUUUCGCACGAGAGUAGCCUUUAGCAAUGAAUUAGAAACGCAUUUAACCAGCUAAACGGAAGACAACCCAUCCCCUUCCGUUCUCAAUUUAUGCUGUUUCGCGUCCGCGAGUGUUUCAUUCGAGAACAAAGCUCUCGCUGCCGUGUUUCACGAAUGAAAAACACAGAUAUCUUUCGUGUGUACGAACGUUUUCAUUAAUUCCGUCGAUCGAACGCCAAUUCGAAAGCACUCGAAGCGUAAGAGACCAGCUCGCUGCGAUUACUUAUUCCAGCGGAUGGAUUAUUUAAGGAAUAAAAAAAGAAUGGAAAGGGAAAGGGAAGAAGAGGAUACGCAGAAUAGUAAAAUAAGAGCGUGGAGGACGCGCUUUUCCGAUUAUUCAUUCCCUUCCUAUCGACGUUUCAUUAUGUUCGCGGAAAAUUCGAGUAGCGUCUAACAAGACCAAUCUUCCUUUGGACGCUCCGAAAAGCUGCAGAAGCUGCGGCGUAACGAAUAAUUGGACGAACGAUGGGGUCCUUCCGUAAUGCAGGAAGAUAAAGAAUCUCUGGUUGGAGCAAUUAAACGCACGCCAGGGAUGAUCCGUGAAGGGACAAAGCUGCGCACUACAUCUGCUUGGUAGUCAAUUACUUUGAUCGGGCAAAAUGGGAAAUCGAGAAUGAGAUUAUUAGCAGUUUCAAUGGUUGCAGUUGUUCUUGACAGAUACAGAGAACUCCGCGUCAAGAUCGUCUUUAGCUGUCGAUACUCUUUUAGACGUGACUUUUAGACGUUGGGUGAAAGAAAGUUCAAAAUUACUACUUUCAUAUUACAGCGAUUUUCUGCCAUGUCGGUAAUUUAUUCCCACCAAGCUAAUCAAUCUUUUCAUUAAUGCGUGUUCAGCGAUAUCUCGAACCUGUUUAAGAAUGAAACAUUUUAGGGCGGUUUUACGAGCACGAGAGAUGCAGCGUAUAUCAAUAAAAUACGCUAAAUGUUUAUACUUUCGCGAACAUCGCUGUACGCCUAUUCGUUGAUUUUAUCAAAUGCAAUUCCAUCCCACAAAAUUACGAUCGUACAUUCCCUCUGGUUUACCUUUCUUUCGUCCGACGUAGCUGCCUUAUCGGUAGCCCAUUUGGAACACGUUAUUUUUACUCGUAUAGCUGCAUAAAGAUCCGCCGACUUGUUAAGCGGCGUUUAAUCCACGCAGCGGAAUAAGAAUCGCGGGUCCGCGAUAAGAGUAUAUCCCAGCUCGCUGAAUAAGUGGUCUACAAAAGUGUUAUCGCGAAACGCGAGGUCGAGUGCCAAGGCGACCGGUUAGAAUGGCGGCGAGAGCCGGGGGAAGGUUGUGUGCACGGAAAGUUAAACGGAAACUGUACUUGUUGCUUGAAAUUGACGUAGGGUCGGUGACAAUGUUUGGCGGAGGUGGUUGCCAAGAAAUACAACCGUCCAUCGGCGCUUCUCCUCUGUCAGAAGCUGGAGGAGAAGGAAGAGGAGGAGGACUUGGUCGUAGCCACGACAUCUCCUGUACACCGCCCCGUUACGGAAGCGAACUUGUUGCUGAAUUUGGCAGCCAGCUCUGGAACUUGCGGAAGAGGAGCACGGCUGGUGGCUCCGGAGUUGUUGCCUCGUACGCCAAUCCAACCCUUGAAUUUAUGCCCUUCCCUCGUCAUUCCGUCCACUGUCUGGAAAUUCCAUCUCUCGCUAGAAAAUGUUCCACUGGUAACCACCACCGUAAAAUAUCCCAGUGAAUUUCGUCGAAUUACUGGUUUUCACUGGCUUUGGCCGUUUCGCGAAUAUACCUGCAUCGUCAACUUUCAUUCGUUAUCUCAUUUAAGGCACGGCUUUUAGGCGUGUUUUUACAGCUCCCUUCCGGUUCUUUCUCCGUUCAGUAUUUUUCCAGGCCAGGGAUAUGUCGGCUCUUUUUAGAAUUUUGUUUUCACGGAGUUUCAUUCUCCGUAACCUUUUCGGAUUACCAUGUUUUUAUUUUCUCCUCUGUUGGUCUUUCGUUUUCUCUUUUUACGGACGUGUUUGUACCGCGUGUUAAUUCCAGUAACUAUACGUAAUAAUUAGAAUAUCGCACGUUAUCAGCUGAUAUUGAGAUAUCGAUAAUGAUUAAUAUUAGUUGGUACAGAUAAAGAGGAAUGUAAUCGGAGAUGGAUGAGAACUGGUCGCGUAAAUACACUCGAGUAACGUUACGAAAGUACCAAGCUUUUCAUCGAAUUGCACCUUCCACUUGCACAAAUGAUAGAUAAUUGUAUAAUUUGAGGCAGCAAUAAUAUAUACGAUAAGAAAGA